UAGUAGUAAUCGUGGAUCAGAAUGCCACGGUGAAUACGUUCCCGGGCCUUGUACACACCGCCCGUCACACCAUGGGAGUGGGUUGCAAAAGAAGUAGGUAGCUUAACCUUCGGGAGGGCGCUUACCACUUUGUGAUUCAUGACUGGGGUGAAGUCGUAACAAGGUAACCGUAGGGGAACCUGCGGUUGGAUCACCUCCUUA
rnacentral:rRNA from 1 species